rnacentral:rRNA from 1 species
UUUUUCGUUGUAGCAAUACGAUGGAAAGUCUAGUGGCGAACGGGUGCUUAACACGUGGGCAACCUGCCGAGAAGUGGGGGAUAGCUCGCCGAAAGGCGAAUUAAUACCGCAUGUGAUUAGAGAGGACAUCCUUUCGAAAUUAAAGUCGGGGCAACCUGACGCUUUUUGUGGGGCCCGCGGCCUAUCAGCUAGUUGGUGAGGUAACGGCUCACCAAGGCUUUGACGGGUAGCUGGUCUGAGAGGACGACCAGCCACACUGGGACUGAGACACGGCCCAGACACCUACGGGUGGCAGCAGUCGAGAAUUUUUCUCAAUGGGGGAAACCCUGAAGGAGCGACGCCGCGUGGAGGAUGAAGGUCUUCGGAUUGUAAACUCCUGUCAUUGGGGAACAAUGUCCCGCUAUUAACUGUGGCGGGAUUGAUAGUACCCGAAGAGGAAGAGACGGCUAACUCUGUGCCAGCAGCCGCGGUAAUACAGAGGUCUCAAGCGUUGUUCGGAUUCAUUGGGCGUAAAGGGUGCGUAGGCGGCGCGGUAAGUCGGGUGUGAAAUCUUGGAGCUUAACUCCGAAACUGCAUUCGAUACUGCCGUGCUUGAGGACUGGAGAGGAGACUGGAAUUUACGGUGUAGCGGUGAAAUGCGUAGAUAUCGUAAGGAAGACCAGUGGCGAAGGCGGGUCUCUGGACAGUUCCUGACGCUGAGGCACGAAGGUCAGGGGAGCAAACGGGAUUAGAUACCCCGGUAGUCCUGACAGUAAACGGUGCACGUUUGGUGUGGGAGGAUUCGACCCCUUCUGCGCCGGAGCUAACGCGUUAAACGUG